GGGUUGUGAGGUUAAGCGACUAAGCGUACACGGUGGAUGCCCUGGCAGUCAGAGGCGAUGAAGGACGUGCUAAUCUGCGAUAAGCGUCGGUGAGGUGAUAUGAACCGUUAUAACCGGCGAUUUCCGAAUGGGGAAACCCAGUGUGUUUCGACACACUAUCAUUAACUGAAUCCAUAGGUUAAUGAGGCGAACCGGGGGAACUGAAACAUCUAAGUACCCCGAGGAAAAGAAAUCAACCGAGAUUCCCCCAGUAGCGGCGAGCGAACGGGGAGGAGCCCAGAGCCUGAAUCAGUGUGUGUGUUAGUGGAAGCGUCUGGAAAGGCGCGCGAUACAGGGUGACAGCCCCGUACACAAAAAUGCACAUACUGUGAGCUCGAUGAGUAGGGCGGGACACGUGGUAUCCUGUCUGAAUAUGGGGGGACCAUCCUCCAAGGCUAAAUACUCCUGACUGACCGAUAGUGAACCAGUACCGUGAGGGAAAGGCGAAAAGAACCCCGGCGAGGGGAGUGAAAAAGAACCUGAAACCGUGUACGUACAAGCAGUGGGAGCCUCUUAAUGGGGUGACUGCGUACCUUUUGUAUAAUGGGUCAGCGACUUAUAUUCUGUAGCAAGGUUAACCGAAUAGGGGAGCCGAAGGGAAACCGAGUCUUAACUGGGCGUUAAGUUGCAGGGUAUAGACCCGAAACCCGGUGAUCUAGCCAUGGGCAGGUUGAAGGUUGGGUAACACUAACUGGAGGACCGAACCGACUAAUGUUGAAAAAUUAGCGGAUGACUUGUGGCUGGGGGUGAAAGGCCAAUCAAACCGGGAGAUAGCUGGUUCUCCCCGA
rnacentral:rRNA from 1 species